AUGACCAGGCGCGGAUGAAAGGGUAGUAUCUGUUCUUAUCAGCUUAAUAUAUGUUACGGGUUGUAUUUGGACCCAAGAUAUUAAACUUAUUUUUGCAAGUUGGCGGGUUGCUUAAAGCCUGAUUCACCUCCGCCCCGGGUCGGCCCGGUAUUGCACCGCCUUCGGUAUUUUUGGAUCUACCGACA